rnacentral:lncRNA from 1 species
GAUUUCAUUAGCCAAAUCCUCUUCUUUCUCUAGAACUUAAAUUUCUUAUUUUCUCUGCCUUCUCUCUAACCUUGUUCCAUUUUCUCUGUACUCAUUUCUUAAAUUUCCACUGUUGCUUUGUCAAAUAGGUGGUGCUCUUACGUUCCCAGAGUCGAGGGCUUUCAAUCCCUCCGAUUAGUUUCGCAUCUCUCAGUUGAUAAGGUAAUUUUCCAAUUCUCUGCACCCUAGGGUUUUACUCUUUUUUUUUUAUUAUCCUUCCAAGUUCUAAGGGCUUUACUCUACACCACUUUGGUGGCUUAUAGGUACUGUGGAGUUGUCUCUAUGUGGAGGUACGGUUGGAGAAUUUUUCUAUUGAGUUGUACUGUGAAGAUCAUAGAAGUAAGGGGAGUGAUUGAAAUAUCUAUGUGUUGAGUUGUAUGAUUGUCUUGGUUCUCUUCUUGUUUUUUUUUUUUUCUCUCGUUUUUUCGUCGUGAUUGGAAAGGGUGUGGCCACUGAAUAUAAGGGUGGGUUCCUACGUAGAAAUAGAGAAUGAAUGGUAUAUAUAUUGGGUUAUAGGCGCGUCGUGAGUGAUAAAUGCUUCUAAGUUUAUUGGUUGACGGGGAAAAAGAUAAGAUACAGUGAUGAAAUGGUGGAAGGGAUGUGGAUAGGAACUUGGUUAUUAUUUAUGUGGGUUUAGAAAUUUGAAAGUGGUUGUUUUAAUUAAAAAAAAAUGGAUGGUUUCAAGGUCUGUGCAUAAGAAAUGGUUGUGUAGUUUUUUUAAAAGGAGACCCACGGGUUAGGUAGAAAAAGGAAGAGUUACAUGGAAUUCACGUCCCUGACCCAUGAUUAAAAGGAGAAAUACUUUUGUUUAUGUUAGGAUGUGUGGGUCCCACGGGGCUUUAUUUUCAUAUGUUAGUUUUUUUUAAUUUCAAUAAGGGAGAUAGAUAUACUCCAGAGGCAAGUGAAGAAACCUUUCUCGGAAUUGAAAGUUGGCUAAGAAGUAAUUGUUGGUUGAGGGCACGGGUCCCACAUUGGUGGUGUAAAUUGGAAGUUUUCUUUUAAGGCAUGGUUUCUAUUUACAGAGUUUAAUUUUUCCAUUUAUCUUUUGGUUUGUUUCCUUUUGAAUAAAAUGACGCUACAUGCAGCGAGUGAGUGGACCAUCCUUGUUGGUAAUAGCUUGAAAUAUAAAUAGUUGUAAUAUGGGCUUAGUUCUUGGUGGAGAAACCGUGAGCUAUUAUUUAUUUUGUGGUUGUAGUAAAAUAUUAAGUGGUAAUAAUUUUAAUAUGCAUAUGUUGGCUUGAGUGAUGAAAGAAUGGCAAGUGUGAGUGAGUCAAGGUGAGUUCUUAAGUGGCUUUCUCUUGUAUGUUGGGUACUUACUUUAGUAUUGUAAGAUUUUGAGCCGGUGUGUAUAUAUGUAUGUUGUUAAUAAUAUUCACGAAGUAAUAAGAUUUGUGUUAUAAAUCUUGUGAGUGAUUAGAAAAUGUAUGUUAUUGAGAUUAUAUGUGGAAUGUAUUGAGAAUGUGUUAUCAGUCUUGUAGUUGGUGAACAAUGCAUAUUGUUGAGAUUAUGUAUAUGUUGAUUGUGUCAAAAAGUAUAUGAUUACAAAGUGUGAAAGUACGAUCCAAGUGGUAAACCAAGUUUCAUUUGUGUAUAAUCUCUUGGUGAGAUUCUUAGUGUUUUAGAAUGAAAGUAGGAGCUCAGUCUUUGGGGGUCUUCCUGACGCUCCAAUGGUCCUUCUUCUCACGUAGAGAGGAUUGAACCAUGUGGUGAGGAGUAGCAGGAGGUCUUAGUCUUGGAGGCUUCCAUCAUGCUCCAGGGCGCAGAACAAACUAACAUCGUGAAUGUGGCAGGGCGGGGGAGCCCAAGGCGGGGGAGCCUAAGUAUCACAAGCCACCACGGGUGCAUGACCCGCCAUAGCUCGACUAUCAUUCUAAAGUCCGGACGAGUCAAGUCUAGUAUUUAACAUGAUAGGAUGGAUGUUUUAUCUUGUUUGCUUUAAACUAAUCUAUUGAAUGUAAAUGCUCUUAAUUAUAUGCUUUUUAUAUGAUUAGCUCACCCUUGCUUGUUUUUGUUGUGCUUGUUUGUGUUGUUUCCUUUUGCGAUGAUCAUCCAUUUGGAUGUGAGCAGAUAUUGAGGAGGUUACACUGGAGCAAGAGCUUGAGGAUACGGAUGCUGCAGCCUAGUCUUCCUAGGAGUUUCCUUGCCAUUUUAUGUUCUUUUGAAAUACUUCAUAUGUUAAGUUUUAAACUUAGGCCUCUUUUGUUAAAGUUUGAAUUCUGAAGUCUUAUUGGAUGACUGUAAUUUGUACCUUAUCUAAAAUUCUACUCCGACUGUUCUCUUAUAUUAAGAUGAUGAUGUCUUUAUUAUAUCGUGCAUGCUAUAUAAUCAGGAUGUCACAGUCUCAUUACAUUUUUCUUUCAUUUUUUUUUUAAGUCUAGACUAAUUUUAUUUGCAUUUUGUCUCUUUUAUAAGUGAUAUUUCUCACAAUCUUUAAGUUACUUCUUUCGAAGAUAUUUGUAAUUGGAUUUUUAAUAAAUAUGGAAUUCUCAUAUAAAAGGUCGUUAGAAAAUUUUUUCUUUAUUGUUGUUACUCUGAAGGAUUGGGGGAGCUAAACUAAUAUGCUUCUAUUCC